rfam:Ovis aries breed Texel chromosome 8, whole genome shotgun sequence.
UUCCCGGUGGUCCAGUGGUUAGGACUUCAUGCUUUCACUGUGUGGGUCUGGGUUCAAUCCCUGGUUGGGAAU